GGUGAAUUGGAGGAUGAAUCACUAAGUAGGGCUUGCCACCAACAGAAUAAAAUAAAAGAUCUUCAAAAGGAGCAGAAAACUUUACAGAUUACAGGAGCUUAUUAAUCAUAAGAAGGCUGAGGACACAGAGAAGAAAGAUGAGCCCAGCAAAUAUAAUCAGCAACAGGCCCUAAUUGACCAGAGAUACUUUCAGGUGCUGUGUAGCAUCAAUUCAAUUAUCCACAAUCCAAGAGCUCCAGUAAUAAUUUAUAAACAGACCAAAGGGGGAGUCCAAAAUUUUAAUAAAGAUCUUGUUCAAGAUUGUGGAUUUGAGCAUCUUGUUCCUGUAAUAGAAAUGUGGGCAGAUCAACUGACAUCCUUAAAGGAUUUGUAUAAGUCCUUGAAAACACUAUCUGCAGAACUGGUACCUUGGCUUAAUUUGAAGAAGCAGGAUGAAAAUGAAGGUAUCAAAGUUGAAGAUUUGUUGUUUAUAGUAGAUACUAUGCUGGAAGAAGUUG
rnacentral:lncRNA from 1 species